AGUCAGGACAUCAUUCCGUGUCAUCAGGAGCAGAGACUUGCCAUCGAUUUCCUACAAGAAUAACAAAUGGAAGGGAUUGGGAAGCUCUUGCCCACCAGAAAGAGAGGGAAGAAAGAGCAACUUGCAAGCUAGAGGAAAAAAGAGAACGGUGAGAUGGAGAUAUGGAUAAGCAAAAAUACAACUGAAGCCAAAAAAGGUUUGUGAAGAAACAUGAGGUCUGUCAUAAAGUGAACACAUUCACUACUUACUUGAAACGUGUGUUCGUUGUAAUAGGACGUGUCAAGAGGUUACCUGGAUAUGGUCAGUUGUUUCUGAAACCUUAAACUACAGAGCAUCUGAUAUACGGAGUGUUGAAUAGAGAAAGAAGCCAGAGUCGUUUUUUUUAACCAUUUCUUUGAAAUGCUGACACGCAUAAGUAGAGUACUCAGUUGCUAAGCAACAUAGAUGUGGGCCGCUUGAUACUGUGGAAAUACUAUGGUACAAAUGCAUAGAUCAGAAUUCGCAUUCAAUAAUGCCAAAAAGCAAUUCAGUCUUCAAUGGAUGAUGGGCAAUAGGGUUCACAUAACAUGGAGGAUAGAAUCAUCACAUUAGUCUGUGGAUUCUGACCUGAUCCAAAGCCAUGGAAUGCGUUGCACUCAGAUUUGAGUCCAAAUAUCAGAGACGGGAGCAAUUUUAAAGCUCCCUGAUCUGCAUGAUUAAAACUUCCCUAUUCAGUGUAGCUACUGUACCUACGAGACUACCAGUCUUGGAUGUUCUGUAGUUUAUCUUUGGAAAGCUAAUUUCUACCAGAAGCAUCAUUCAUAUAGUUUAAACUUUAGACACUGCAUUUCAUUCAGGGCUAUACACAUCUGUGGACAGAAAUAUAGCUGAUGGUGAUGACAUUGUUGACUGUUUAAGUGUAAUAUUACAAUGUGUAACAAAAGUCAGAUGCAGCAUGAAAUAUGUAGUAAAAGAAGAAUGGCAAUGACAAACUUUGAAUAAUUAGUCAUUUAGGACAGUUUAUUCAAUAUUACUAUAGCUUACUACUGAAAUUAUAUCAUUGCAUCAUUGCCAACGUUGUGGUUGUCUAUUUGACGCUUACCUUUUUAUUGCUAAUUCGUGAGCUAGUUGGUUUCCUUUUAUAGUUCUUAGGGCGUAAAUAAAUAUCCGGUUUAUUCA